rnacentral:rRNA from 1 species
AUUGAACGCUGGCGGCAGGCUUAACACAUGCAAGUCGAGCGGGGUGAUGGUGCUUGCACUAUCACUUAGCGGCGGACGGGUGAGUAAUGCUUAGGAAUCUGCCUAUUAGUGGGGGACAACAUCUCGAAAGGGAUGCUAAUACCGCAUACGUCCUACGAGAGAAAGCAGGGGAUCACUUGUGACCUUGCGCUAAUAGAUGAGCCUAAGUCGGAUUAGCUAGUUGGUGGGGUAAAGGCCUACCGAGGCGACGAUCUGUAGCGGGUCUGAGAGGAUGAUCCGCCACACUGGGACUGAGACACGGCCCAGACUCCUACGGGAGGCAGCAGUGGGGAAUAUUGGACAAUGGGGGGAACCCUGAUCCAGCCAUGCCGCGUGUGUGAAGAAGGCCUUAUGGUUGUAAAGCACUUUAAGCGAGGAGGAGGCUCUUUUGGUUAAUACCCAAGAUGAGUGGACGUUACUCGCAGAAUAAGCACCGGCUAACUCUGUGCCAGCCGCCGCAGUAA